GACGAACGCUGGCGGCGUGCUUAACACAUGCAAGUCGAACGGAAAGACCCUGCUUUUUGGGGAUGCUUGGCUGGCGAACGGGUAAGUAACACGUAAGUAACCUGCGCUUGACUUUGAGGUAACGUCAGGUAACUUAAGCCAGUACCUGAUCUGAGCUCCUACGCGAUGGUGGGGGUUGGAAUGUUUCGGCGGGUGGGGAUGGACGGGCGGGUGAUGGGCUUGUUGGUGGGGUAGUGGCAUACCAAGGGAUUGACCGGUAGCCGGCCUGAGUGGGUGACCGGCGACAUGGGGACUGAGAGACGGCCCAGAGUCCUACGGGAGGCAGCAGUGGGGAAUAUUGCACAAUGGGCGGAAGCGUGAGACAGCAACGCCGCGUGCGGGAUGACGGCCUUGGGGUUGUAAACCGCUUUCGCCUGUGACGAAGCGUGAGUGACGGUAAUGGGUAAAGAAGCACCGGCUAACUACGUG
rnacentral:rRNA from 1 species